rnacentral:rRNA from 1 species
CGGUAAUUCCAGCUCCAAUAGCGUAUACUAAAGUUGUUGCAGUUAAAAAGCUCGUAGUUGGAUUUCUGCGGGGACGGAGCGGCCGGACGCAACUUGCGUCUCGAGCUAGCGCUUUCCCCGCAUCCUGCCGCGAACCGUGCUACCAUUAGUUUGGUGGCGCUGGGGAUCGGCUCGAUUACUUUGAGAAAAAUAGAGUGAUCAGAGCAGGCCACACGCCUUGAAUAAGUUAGCAUGGAAUAAUGACUAAGGACUUCGGUUCUAUUUUGUUGGUGUUCGGGACUGAAGUAAUGAUUGAUAGGGACAGUUGGGGCGGUCUGUAUUCCAAAGCGAGAGGUGAAGUUCUUAGACCUUCGGAAGACAAACAGCUGCGAAAGCGUUCCGCAAGGAUGUUCCCUUUGAUCAAGAACGAAAGUUGGGGGAUCGAAGACGAUCAGAUACCGUCGUAGUCUCAACUAUAAACUAUACCAGCUAGGGAUCGGCCAACGUUUAAUUAUUCGACUUGGUCGGCACCUUAUGAGAAAUCAAAGCAUCUGGGUUCCGGGGGGAGUAUGGUCGCAAGGCUGAAACUUAAAGGAAUUGACGGAAGGGCACCACCAGCCGUGGAGCCUGUGGCUUAAUUUGACUCAACACGGGAAAACUUACCAGGUCCAGACAUAGGAAGGAUUGACAGAUUGAUAGCUCUUUCUUGAUUCUGUGGGUGGUGGUGCAUGGCCGUUUUUAGUUGGUGGAGUGAUUUGUCUGCUUAAUUGCGUUAACGAACGAGACCCCAGCCUGCUAAAUAGCGCGGCCGAGCUUUGCUCGGUGCGAGCUUCUUAGAGGGACCAUGAUGCGCGAUAGCACAAGGAAGUUUGGGGCAACAACAGGUCUGUGAUGCCCUUAGAUGUUCUGGGCCGCACACGGGCUACACUGGCGCCUGCAACGAGCAUAUCAGCUGGCCCGAGAGGGUCUUGGCUAAUCUUUUGAACCGGCGCCGUGCUUGGGAUUGACCUCUGCAAUUGUUGGUCAUGCAACGAGGAAUGCCUUGUAAACGCGAGUCAUCAGCUCGCAUUGAAUACGUCCCUGCCCUUUGUACACACCGCCCGUCGCUCCUACCGAUGAAUGUUCCGAUGAAAUUUUCGGAGAGCGCCAGAGAACGGGGCUCUGCCUUGCAGAUCUGGAGGCUCAAAGUCACUUAAAUCUGAACAUUUCGAGGAAGGAGAAGUCGUAACAAGGUAACC